AUUGAACGCUGGCGGCAUGCUUUACACAUGCAAGUCGAACGGCAGCGCGGGCUUCGUCCUGGCGUCGAGUGGCGAACGGGUGAGUAAUGCAUCGGAACGUGCCCAGUAGUGGGGGAUAGCCCGGCGAAAGCCGGAUUAAUACCGCAUACGACCUGAGGGUGAAAGCGGGGGACCGAAAGGCCUCGCGCUAUUUGAGCGGCCGAUGUCGGAUUAGCUAGUUGGUGGGGUAAAGGCUUACCAAGGCGACGAUCCGUAGCUGGUCUGAGAGGACGACCAGCCACACUGGAACUGAGACACGGCCCAGACUCCUACGGGAGGCAGCAGUGGGGAAUUUUGGACAAUGGGGGCAAGCCUGAUCCAGCCAUGCCGCGUGCGGGAAGAAGGCCUUCGGGUUGUAAACCGCUUUUGUUCGGGAAGAAAUCCUCUGGGCUAAUACCCCGGGGGGAUGACGGUACCGGAAGAAUAAGCACCGGCUAACUACGUG
rnacentral:rRNA from 1 species